GAGGAUGUAGCUCAGGGGUAAAAGUGUGUGCUUAGCAUGCACGAGGUGGUCCUGGGUUCAAUCCCCAGUACCUCCA
rnacentral:tRNA from 1 species